rnacentral:rRNA from 1 species
UGGGGAAUAUUGGACAAUGGGCGCAAGCCUGAUCCAGCCAUGCCGCGUGUGUGAAGAAGGCCUUUUGGUUGUAAAGCACUUUAAGCGAGGAGGAGGCUACUUGGAUUAAUACUCUAGGAUAGUGGACGUUACUCGCAGAAUAAGCACCGGCUAACUCUGUGCCAGCAGCCGCGGUAAUACAGAGGGUGCGAGCGUUAAUCGGAUUUACUGGGCGUAAAGCGUGCGUAGGCGGCUUCUUAAGUCGGAUGUGAAAUCCCUGAGCUUAACUUAGGAAUUGCAUUCGAUACUGGGAAGCUAGAGUAUGGGAGAGGAUGGGAGAAUUCCAGGUGUAGCGGUGAAAUGCGUAGAGAUCUGGAGGAAUACCGAUGGCGAAGGCAGCCGUCUGGCCUAAUACUGACGCUGAGGUACGAAAGCAUGGGGAGCAAACAGG